rnacentral:ncRNA from 1 species
CGGUGAGCCGUGCCACGGAAUCGGGUGCUCCAAGUGGGCCAUUUUUGGUAAGCAGAACUGGCGAUGCGGGAUGAACCGGAAGCCGGGUUAGCGUGCCCAACUGCGCGCUAACCUAGAACCCACAAAGGGUGUUGGUCGAUUAAGACAGCAGGACGGUGGUCAUGGAAGUCGAAAUCCGCUAAGGAGUGUGUAACAACUCACCUGCCGAAUCAACUAG